AUCAAAAGUGCAGAACGUAGCCCUGUCAUUAGAGAGCAGGAAGCAGUUGAGCUGAGUGAACCUAAAGUGAAUAUAAACAAUGGUGAAUAUAAACAUUAAAUACGGUGAAAGAUGAGUCUGCAAAAAGCGCUUCAAGAGCCUGAGACAAGCCAUCAUGGCCAAAGUUCCAGAUGCAGUGGUUAAUGGGACUGUGGUGAGGAAAACAUGUUUCGAGGUUGAGAUCAAUGGCCAUCUUGUGUUCUCCAAACUAGAGAUGGGAGGAUUUCCUCAUGAGGAGGAUGUGGUGGCUGCUGUUAUCCAGGCUCAGGAUGGCACGCCUAAGAAGCUCACUAGAUGCGUUAAGGAUUGCGUCAUCUCCUAGCAUGUUGACCUUUAGCCACUGCCCACUCUUAUGAUUAGCACAUCUCAUAAUAAUUUUAUAAGAACUAUGACACUUUAGAUUUUCAGUUCCCCGUGUGUCAUAUUUUUUUCUCUGCUUCUGGACUAAACAUUUUGGACUUACAUGAUUACUAUAGCUGAAAAUGCGAAAGGUUAUGGUAUGAAACACUUUAUUCCAAAUCGCUCUAUUGUAGAAGCAGAGAGACAAAAUAUGAGGGACAGGGUAGUGGGAUGGGCAGGAACUAAUUCUCUUAUCUUUUAUGCAAAUUAUGUGCAAAUGUCUUACACUUACCGGCACGCAUUGCUUAUUAAAUAGGUGAUUAGGGAUGCAGUAAUUUCUUUUCUUUAUCUUCUCUUUAUCUUUCUUUUUUUAAGUUACAUCUUGUUUUACAUAUUUAAGUACUUAUAAAUAAAAUAAAAUAUUGCCCUGCUAAUAUAAAUGAA